rnacentral:rRNA from 1 species
CAGCCGCCGCGGUAAUACGGAGGGUGCAAGCGUUAAUCGGAAUUACUGGGCGUAAAGCGCACGCAGGCGGUCUGACAAGUCAGAUGUGAAAUCCCCGGGCUUAACCUGGGAACUGCAUUUGAAACUGUCAGGCUGGAGUCUUGUAGAGGGGGGUGGAAUUCCAGGUGUAGCGGUGAAAUGCGUAGAGAUCUGGAGGAAUACCGGUGGCGAAGGCGGCCCCCUGGACAAAGACUGACGCUCAGGUGCGAAAGCGUGGGGAGCAAACAGGAUUAGAUACCCGCGUAGUCCCUGUCUCUUAUCA